rnacentral:rRNA from 1 species
UACAGAGGGGGCAAGCGUUGUUCGGAAUUACUGGGCGUAAAGGGCGCGUAGGCGGCCUGCUAAGUCGAACGUGAAAUCCCUGGGCUCAACCCAGGAACUGCGUCCGAUACUGGUUGGCUUGAAUCCGGGAGAGGGAUGUGGAAUUCCAGGUGUAGCGGUGAAAUGCGUAGAUAUCCGGAGGAACACCGGUGGCGAAGGCGGCUUCCUGGACCGACACUGACGCUGAGGCGCGAAAGCUAGGGGAGCAAACGGG